rnacentral:tRNA from 1 species
UGCCCGGUGGUGUAAUGGUAACACACCAGAAUUUGGGUCUGAGGUUCGAGGUUCGAGUCCUCGCCGGGCAACCA